AACGAACGCUGGCGGCAGGCUUAACACAUGCAAGUCGAGCGCCCCGCAAGGGGAGCGGCAGACGGGUGAGUAACGCGUGGGAAUCUACCCAUCUCUACGGAAUAACGCAUGGAAACGUGUGCUAAUACCGUAUACGUCCUUCGGGAGAAAGAUUUAUCGGAGAUGGAUGAGCCCGCGUUGGAUUAGCUAGUUGGUGGGGUAAAGGCCUACCAAGGCGACGAUCCAUAGCUGGUCUGAGAGGAUGAUCAGCCACACUGGGACUGAGACACGGCCCAGACUCCUACGGGAGGCAGCAGUGGGGAAUAUUGGACAAUGGGCGCAAGCCUGAUCCAGCUAUGCCGCGUGAGUGAUGAAGGCCCUAGGGUUGUAAAGCUCUUUCACCGGUGAAGAUAAUGACGGUAACCGGAGAAGAAGCCCCGGCUAACUUCGUGUCAGCAGCCGCCGUAAAAC
rnacentral:rRNA from 1 species